rnacentral:rRNA from 1 species
GGUAAACGCUAGCGUCAGGCUUAACACAUGCAAGUCGAGGGGCAGCAUAGAUUGUAGCAAUACAAAUGGUGGCGACCGGCGCACGGGUGCGUAACGCGUAUGCAACCUACCCGUCACAGGGGGAUAGUCCGGAGAAAUCUGAUCUAAUACCCCAUAACAUAUGGACCGGCAUCGGUUCAUGGCGGAGUUUUCGGAGGGUACGGAUGGGCAUGCGUAGCAUUAGCCUGUUGGUGAGGUAACGGCUCACCAAGGCGACGAUGCUUAGGGGGACUGAGAGGUUUUCCCCCCACACUGGUACUGAGACACGGACCAGACUCCUACGGGAGGCAGCAGUGAGGAAUAUUGGUCAAUGGGCGCAAGCCUGAACCAGCCAUGCCGCGUGCAGGAUGACGGCUCUAUGAGUUGUAAACUGCUUUUGUACGAGGGUAAAGUGGGUUACGUGUAACCUUUUGAAAGUAUCGUACGAAUAAGGAUCGGCUAACUCCGUGCCAGCAGCCGCGGUAA